GCACAUAUUGAAUUACUCUAUUUCAGUUAUUACUUUCGUUCAUCGUUGUUUAUUUAUUCAUUGGGGGCGGUUUUUGCUGGGACGAUAGUGGGGUAACGAUUGUGCAUUGAGAUGUUGAGGGUUCGAGGAGCCGAAGAGCACUGAGCAGUCGUGGUGGAGUGGUUACAAAUUUUCUGAGCCUUGGAUGACGAGCUGGAUCAUGUUUUUUGAUGACUGCAGUUCAAUUUUUUUUUUAGAGAAACAUGCAGAAUUCGAAAUUGAUUAAAAAGCAAUUAGUGGAGUAGCGGGCGUUUAUGCUGUCAUGGCGCUGAACGGGACUAACCUCGGUGCAGACGUGUCGAUCUUGUUCAGAGGAGUUGCAGCAUUGGGGGAUAUUGAAAUGGGAAUGGAAAUGGAACAUACUGGCAGCAUAACAAAUCAUGAGUUCUCUGUGUAGUGCAAACCCUCUCGAAGCAGUAGACCAGCGUACACCCACCCCUGCGAUGAUGAAACAGAGUAUCUCUCCAGGCAGACAUUACAUUGAAGCCUAAGUUCGACAGAGAGCAGUACUUUUACCCUGAUCUUGUUCAGAGGAGUUGCUGCAUCUCGCAAUUUAGCAUUCCUACCGUCGAGAGGGGCUACAUCGAUGUCGACUUGUCUGUGGAGUUUGGCGGCGGCCAUAGCUGAAUUUUGGGUUGCUCAGGUUUUCAGAAGAUGCUGGCAAACUGAUUCACGCUGCAAAUGACCAUCUCUCUGACUCCUCCUUAUCCCAGGUGUGUACCCUGAAGUCUAUGGCUGAAUCCUAAAAACCCUGAUGCUGGGGGAAGUAAGAACAAUUUGGAGACUUUCCCACUUCAGAGCUUAAAAUUCGUCUUUUCAGGUGGAUUCUAAUCGGGCUGGUGUGACUCUGUUGGAAGUAGUUUCGGAGUCACAGAUGCAAAAUGCACUUGAAGUAACAGAGUAUGCAGCAGAAGUGCAGUGAAUGGUGCGAUACUUGGGUAUCAGCAAUGGAAGCGUGCAGGUGGGUUUGAUGCGAUGCUAUGUCAGAAUGCCGAUGCCCAAGAGUGGAUCCCGGUUUGGUACCUAUGCUCUUUUUGUCCCUGUGUGACAUUUUGUUUUUCUGUUUCGGGAUGGAUGCAAUUUUUAGCUUAAAAAACAAGAAUGGAAGCUUUCAGCAUGGCAAAAAAUUUGCGGUCCUACAACUCGAGUAUCGGUAGGGAUAACGUUCAAGCUCGGCAGCAACGAUUCUUUUGUGAGAUAUAGUGUCUGGUGCCCAGCAGUCACAUGGUUCUGAGUCUUAGUCGAGAACACUUUUCAUGGAAGUAGAUGAGAAGACCAGACAAUCAGAAUAUGAGUUACAGCAGGUUUGCAGUUGAUCUUACUGGGCUCUUCAUGGCCUCUUAAAUGGAAGUAAUGUCGCUAAAUGCUGAUCGUGAGCAACGUUGCAGCACCAGGAAGUUACUUGUAGGCUUAAGCAUGAUCUCAGUGCGAACUUGUACCAGAAUUGCCACUUCAAGUCCAACCAUCUUAUUUCAGGAAUAUAUAGAUGCAACCAAGGAAAUACUACCUGGGCUUCUUAAUAUCGAACGCCGCUACCAUGAGAGCUUAUGCCCCUCUUUGCAAGACAUUUGUGCUUGGAAAUGAUCGUGACGUUUUACUGGAUCUUGUUGAGAAAGGAGGCAUUGCGAAGGAGGUCGUUGUUUUAAGUCUCAGCCAGGUUGUUCCUCGAUGGUUUUAAAGCAAGUUCCUUGUUAAAACUGGAAGCAGAUACGCACAAUGCAUUUCCAAAGCUACAAGUGGACUUCCAAUCAAAAGUGUUUGCAGCGUGGAAAAUUACUUAGAUAUGAUUUCAAGCAUUUCAAUCACUGGAUUAUACCAAGUGAUUUCGGCGAAACUGGUGUGAAGUCGUCUACGCACUCCUAAUCGACAAGAACUCAAUAGUGAGCAACAAAUACAAAUGGGGAGGAAAACUGUGUCUUAACGCUCAUGCGGUAGCACGGCACAGCGUGCGGAAGGAAGACGUUCUUUUGAGCUAAAUCGCCCCCAUUGACAGAUCCAAUGUGGAGAUGACCGCUGUUUAGAUAAAGGUCAUGGAUUCAAACCUCUGAAAAGUCAGCAUCUGAGUAGACGCUAAGUCAGAUCAGUCGCCCAAGCAGUCAGAAAGGCCGACAUAAACCUCCUUAGAUUACAGGUCAUGCACUUACCCAUACCUUGGCCCCCAUCGUAAAGACCUGUCUUGCACCUAUUUCCCACACUGCUGGAUUAUGUCAAACUAGCUGAGAGUGGGUCCAGCUCAGCGGCCGGCUCUGCUGCAGUAAUAGUAGCAGUAGGCAUGCAGCACACCACUGUCUGUUCACUUGUUCAAAUCCCUAUUACUCUUAAGCGUUGCUGAAAAGUUCAGCGAAUGCUUGAGAGAGCUGUGAACAAUUUCCUGCCCUGUCUCCUGUGUGUUGAACACUCGCAUGAUUUGUGUGCACUAUGACCGAUCAAGCCUUGUUCACAUUGUCAUCUUUGAUGCGGCUAUUCAGCAGCCUCAAAAGCCAUAUGAACUCCACCAAGGUUUA